GAUAACGCUGGCGGCGUGCCUAACACAUGCAAGUCGAACGCCCUUUUGCGCAAGUGAGAGGGAGUGGCGGACGGGUGAGUACCACGUGGGUACCUACCUUGAGGUGAGGAAUACCACCGAGAAAUCGGUGACAAGACCGCAUACGCUUGGCAACAAGCAAAGUCUCGCAAGAGACGCCACAAGAUGGGCCUGCGCCUGAUUAGCUAGUUGGUGAGGUAAUGGCNCACCAAGGCGACGAUCAGUAGCUGGUCUGAGAGGAUGAUCAGCCACACUGGGAUUGAGAACGGCCCAGACUCCGUACGGGG
rnacentral:rRNA from 1 species